GACGAACGCUGGCGGCGUGCUUAACACAUGCAAGUCGAACGGAAAGGCCCUUCGGGGUCCUCGAGUGGCGAACGGGUGAGUAACACGUGGGUGAUCUGCCCUGCACUUUGGGAUAAGCCUGGGAGACUGGGGCUAAUACCGAAUAGGACCACGCGCUUCAUGGUGUGUGGUGGAAAGCGUUUGCGGUGUGGGAUGGGCGCGCGGCCUAUCAUCUUGUUGGUGGGGUAAUGGCGUACCAAGGCGAGGACGGGUAGCCGGCCUGAGAGGGUGACCGGCCACAAUGGGACUGAGAUACGGCCCAGACUCCUACGGUAGGCAGCAGUGGGGAAUAUUGCCCAAUGGGCGCAAGCCUGAUGCAGCGGCGCCGCGUGAGGGAUGACGGCCUUCGGGUUGUAAACCUCUUUCACCAGGGACGAUGCGUAAGUGACGUUACCUGGAGAAGAAGCACCGGCCAACUACGUG
rnacentral:rRNA from 1 species